rnacentral:rRNA from 1 species
AUGCAGUCGAACGGAAAGGCUCCUUCGGGAGUGCUCGAGUGGCGAACGGGUGAGUAACACGUGGGUGAUCUGCCCUGCACUUUGGGAUAAGCCUGGGAAACUGGGUCUAAUACCGAAUAUACCCUGCUGAUCGCAUGGUCUGGUGGGGGAAAGCUUUUGCGGUGUGGGAUGGGCCCGCGGCCUAUCAGCUUGUUGGUGGGGUGAUGGCCUACCAAGGCGACGACGGGUAGCCGGCCUGAGAGGGUGUCCGGCCACACUGGGACUGAGAUACGGCCCAGACUCCUACGGGAGGCAGCAGUGGGGAAUAUUGCACAAUGGGCGCAAGCCUGAUGCAGCGACGCCGCGUGAGGGAUGACGGCCUUCGGGUUGUAAACCUCUUUCAGCAUCGACGAAGCGCAAGUGACGGUAGAUGCAGAAGAAGCACCGGCCAACUACGUGCCAGCAGCCGCGGUAAUACGUAGGGUGCGAGCGUUGUCCGGAAUUACUGGGCGUAAAGAGCUCGUAGGUGGUUUGUCGCGUUGUUCGUGAAAACUCACAGCUUAACUGUGGGCGUGCGGGCGAUACGGGCAGACUGGAGUACUGCAGGGGAGACUGGAAUUCCUGGUGUAGCGGUGGAAUGCGCAGAUAUCAGGAGGAACACCGGUGGCGA